rnacentral:rRNA from 1 species
UACGUAGGGUGCAAGCGUUGUCCGGAAUUAUUGGGCGUAAAGAGCUCGUAGGCGGUCUGUCGCGUCUGCUGUGAAAACUCGGGGCUUAACCCCGGGCCUGCAGUGGGUACGGGCAGACUAGAGUGCGGUAGGGGAGACUGGAAUUCCUGGUGUAGCGGUGAAAUGCGCAGAUAUCAGGAGGAACACCGAUGGCGAAGGCAGGUCUGCUGGGCCACUGACUGA